rnacentral:rRNA from 1 species
AUUGAACGCUGGCGGCAGGCCUAACACAUGCAAGUCGAGCGAGCGGCGGACGGGUGAGUAAUGUAUGGGGACUGCCCGAUAGAGGGGGAUAACUACUGGAAACGGUGGCUAAUACCGCAUACUAUCGGAUAACCCAUAUGGGAUUAGCUAGUAGGUGGGGUAAAGGCUCACCUAGGCGACGAUCUCUAGCUGGUCUGAGAGGAGGAUCAGCCACACGGGGACGUAGACACGGCCCAGACGCCAACGGAGGCAGCAGUGGGAAAUAUUGGAAAAGGGGCGAAAGCCUGAUGCAGCCAUGCCGCGUGUAUGAAGAAGGCCUUAGGGUUGAAAAGUACUGUCAGCGGGGAGGCGUUACCCGCAGAGGAAGCACCGGCUAACUCCGUGCCAGCAGCCGCGGUAAUUC